GACUGCUUSGAMUCCAAAGCMUGCGAGUUCUGGGGCUCUUCGGAGCACCGGCGGACGGCUCAGUAACACGUGGACAACCUACCCUCGGGUGGGGGAUAACCUCGGGAAACUGAGGCUAAUACCCCAUAGGUCUUGGAUACUGGAAGGUACCAAGACUGAAAGCUCCGGCGCCCGAGGAUGGGUCUGCGGCCUAUCAGGUAGUUGGUGGUGUAAAGGACCACCAAGCCUGCGACGGGUACGGGCCCUGAGAGGGGGAGCCCGGAGAUGGACUCUGAGACACGAGUCCAGGCCCUACGGGGCGCAGCAGGCGCGAAACCUUUGCAAUGCGCGAAAGCGCGACAAGGGGAGUCCGAGUGCCCUUCCUUCGGGGAGGGCUUUUCCUGAGCCUAAAAAGCUCAGGGAAUAAGGGCUGGGCAAGACGGGUGCCAGCCGCCGCGGUAAUACCUGCAGCUCAAGUGGCGGCCACUAUUAUUGAGCCUAAAGCGUCCGUAGCCGGACCUGUAAAUCCCUGGGUAAAUCCUAUCGCUUAACGAUAGGAAUUUCGGGGAGACUGCAGGUCUUGGGACCGG
rnacentral:rRNA from 1 species